rnacentral:misc_RNA from 1 species
UCUCGCCAGAGCACUACGAGCCCAGCUUAAAACUCAAAGGACCUGGCGGCGCCCUACACCCACCUAGAGGAGCCUGUUCUAUAAUCGACACCCCCCGAUAAACCUCACCACCUCUUGCUAAUACAGUCUAUAUACCACCGCCUCAGUGUACCUUUUAAAAGAAUAAAAGUGAACGAAAUAAUUUUAAAUAAAAAAGUCAGGUCAAGGUGUAGCAAAUGAGCUGGAAAGAAAUGGGCUACAUUUUUUAUUUUAAAAAACACGGAAUAUUUUAUGAAAUAAGAUAUAAAGGAGAAUUUAGAAGUAAAAAGAAAAAAGAGUGUUCUUUUUAAAUAGGCAAUAGAGCACGCACACACCGCCCGUCACCCUCUUUAAAAUAAUUAAGAUCAGUUAUAAAAGAGGAAAGUCGUAACAUGGUAAGUCUACCGGAAGGUGGCCUUGGAUACAGAUUAUAGCCUAAAAUAAAGCAUUUUGUUUACACCAAAAAAAUAUUUGUUCACCCAAAUUAUUCUGAAUCUUAAUUCUAGCCCAAACACAAUCAUUACCC